GACGAGGGGUCCAAGCGUUUGUUCGGAAUCAUUGGGCGUAAAGCGGGUGUAGGUGGCUCUGUAAGUCAGGAGUGAAAGCCCCGAGCUUAACUUGGGAAGUGCUUUUGAUACUGCAGAACUUGAGUGUGGGAGAGGAUCGUGGAAUUUCCGGUGUAGCGGUGAAAUGCGUAGAUAUCGGAAGGAACACCAGUGGCGAAAGCGGCUUCCUGGUCCGACACCGACGUCAGGCACGAAAGCGUGGGGAGCAAACAGG
rnacentral:rRNA from 1 species